AUUCAGCGGUGAUGUCUCUCCUCCUCCCUGACGUCACCGCAAAGAACACCGGGCCAACAGGCCCAACCGGGAUCAAGAUCUCCUCUCCUCCUCCCUGGAGGUCUUGUGACUAGAGCGACGGCGCCUCUCCUCCUCCCUGGCGUCGUCGCACCAG
rnacentral:ncRNA from 13 species